rnacentral:rRNA from 1 species
AGUGAACGCUGGCGGUAGGCCUAACACAUACAAGUCGAACGGCAGCACAGUAAGAGCUUGCUCUUGCGGGUGGCGAGUGGCGGACGGGUGAGGAAUACAUCGGAAUCUACUUUUUCGUGGGGGAUAACGUAGGGAAACUUACGCUAAUACCGCAUACGACCUACGGGUGAAAGCAGGGGAUCUUCGGACCUUGCGCGAUUGAAUGAGCCGAUGUCGGAUUAGCUAGUUGGCGGGGUAAAGGCCCACCAAGGCGACGAUCCGUAGCUGGUCUGAGAGGAUGAUCAGCCACACUGGAACUGAGACACGGUCCAGACUCCUACGGGAGGCAGCAGUGGGGAAUAUUGGACAAUGGGCGCAAGCCUGAUCCAGCCAUACCGCGUGGGUGAAGAAGGCCUUCGGGUUGUAAAGCCCUUUUGUUGGGAAAGAAAAGCAGCAGGUUAAUACCCCGCUGUUCUGACGGUACCCAAAGAAUAAGCACCGGCUAACUUCGUG